UUUACUGACCUCCUUGAAUAACCUCUGGUUCUAAAGAAGCCAGUUAAAGCAGAGCAUUAACAGAUUUUCAACAUGCUCUGGGGAUCAAAAUUCCUAGGUCAGAGUAUAGCAGAUGCUACAAAGUUUUGCAAGGUUCUGUAAUUCCCAGAGUUUUCCAUAAAGAAUGAAUGGCCUUGGUCUCGUACAGCAGGGUCUUGUGAGGCUAGUGUUUGGCAUGUGGCUGAUGAGGUAAUGUGUUUAGGUUUUCCCCAUUGGACCAGCCUUCCUCCAACACUUAACAGAAUGGAACAUUCCAGGUUCAGCACCUGUCUGCCUUCCACUGCCAACCGGGUCUGCAGGGGCAGUAAGUCGCUUUUGUUAAUACUUCAUGUCUAGGGAAAGGCACUGGUGAGAAGAUGAGGUCUUAAAAAACCUACGGGGAUAUUUAAGGAUAUUGUCGCUCCAGCGUUACUCAGAGAUGAAGUUUUCUUUCUGUGGCCUGGGUGAGAGAGCUGUUAACAGCUGAUUGAAAAGGCAGGGAAAGGAUUAUGAGUGUGCAAGCUUCUUGCAAAAUAUUUUUUUUGGUCAAAUAAGGCCAAGUUUCAACACUCAUGACAGUUACUGAAACAGCGAAUUAAUCUCAUUAAAAGGCAGGCCACAGAUCGUGAGGACAGUGUCCGCGGGGCGGACUUCCCACGGGAAGGGGGAGAACUAGAGCUGGGGCGCGUGGUCUGAUAACCACCGACCAGUCUGGCUGUGCUCAGUAAUGAGGAGCUCGAGAGGUUAUUCUGUUGAGAAGGCCGUGGCAAGUGGGACUCCUGGCACCAGCGACCGCCAUGCAAGGGUAAGAAAAUCCCAAUUCUGAAGGCCAGUCCCAGGCUCCCGCACAAAAUCCUUCAAAGUGGGGUUUGUCUCUGCAGAACUUCGGGGAAAUAUGUGCAGAAGCAAGGUAGAAGCAAGCAUCUAUCUCUCUGAUUCUAAUUUCUAGAAGCGAAUUCCCCCAGUAUUUGGCAGUCCUGACUUGGCAACGGAAGAUCUCUUUCUGGUAUAUAACCAGAUAAGCUUUCUAUGUUAAAAUAAGAACUGUUUUCUAUUAAAAAAAUGGGCAUUUAAUUUUUAUUU
rnacentral:lncRNA from 1 species